UUGCUUACAUUGGCAACAUAUAUACUAAAAUAGAAAUGAAACAGAGAAGAUUAGCAUGGCCCCUGUACAAGAAUAACAUGUGAAGCUGUCCAGAAGCUUCAUAAAAUUUC
ensembl:snRNA U6 U6 spliceosomal RNA